GCCCUAACCAGGAUCCUGAAACUCUCCAUGAAUCUUAGUGGAGGCAGAACGAGGACCACAAAAAGGAAGUAAUCGUGAUCCAAAAGGAUUGGAACAAAUCAAAGAGGUGAUUGUCUGAUUGAUGCGUUCAUGAAUCCCAAGUGCCACAAAACAGACUCUAAUACAGCUUCUAGCUUAACUGGAUUACCACAUGUUCCAGAGAAGUGCUCAAUGUCAUAAAAACUCGCAAAGUACUGAGACGAGAAUUUUUUAAGUCUCAUGAAAUGAUCUGGAGGUUAGAGACGCCCAUUUUUACUGCAGAUCUUGUAGAAAGGGCUUGUCCGGAGAUGAUCAUAAUGUUCAAGGAGAAAAUGGAACCGAAGAAAAAGAAAGCCAAAACAAAAAAAAAACAUGAAUCAAAAGUGAAGGAAACAAGUUCACCGACUAAAAGCUUCAAGCUCAACCUCAAACUCCAACAGAUUGAUCUUAAUUCAACAUUUGUCCUAGCUACAAGCACCAUAGAAGAAGCAGAGCUAUAGAAUGAACAGCAAA